rnacentral:rRNA from 1 species
GACGAACGCUGGCGGCGUGCUUAACACAUGCAAGUCGAACGGAAAGGCCCCUUUGGGGGUUCUCGAGUGGCGAACGGGUGAGUAACACGUGAGUAACCUGCCCUUGACUUCGGGAUAACUUCAGGAAACUGGGGCUAAUACCGGAUAGGAAUCCUUGCUGCAUGGUGGGGGUUGGAAAGCUUCGGCGGUUUUGGAUGGACUCGCGGCUUAUCAGCUUGUUGGUGGGGUAGUGGCUUACCAAGGCUUUGACGGGUAGCCGGCCUGAGAGGGCGACCGGCCACACUGGGACUUAGAGACGGCCCAGACUCCUACGGGAGGAAGCAGGGGGGAAUAUUGCACAAUGGGCGGCAGCCGGAUGCAGCAACGCCGCGUGCGGGAUGACGGCCUUCGGGUUGUAAACCGCUUUCAGCAGGGGCGAAGCUUGUGGUGACGGUACCUGCAGAAGAAGCACCGGCUAACUACGUG